AUUGGCAGCCUGCCAAGAUUCUGAGCAGUUAGCCCCUCCCAACUGAUUGACCAAACCUACUCCCAACUGGUUUCAAACUUCCCUGCGGGCUACAACUGACAACCUGGACAUAAAUAGAUGAGGUCUGACAAAAAGGCAUCAAUAAAUUUGGACAAUGCAGUAGUACCUAGGAAAGAAGACAAAAGUAGAAUGACUUGGGCAAUCAGAACAUUGCAGGUUGGCUCAUGGAGCUCAUGAACAGAACACAAGGAUAAAGUUCCAAACAAUGUUGGCGAUUUUUAUAAGAAGGGCCAGUGUACUGGAAGUUUUUCAUUGGUUCCUGUAUUUUUGGAGCUGAGAGACCACUUCUGUCAGAGGGGACUAACUGAAUUUCUGUGGGAAGCCAUUGAACCCUGCCUCUGAGGUUCCUCUCAAUUCGUCAUUUGGUCUAUAAGAAAGAUUUUAUUCACCAGAUUACAUCUGUU
rnacentral:lncRNA from 1 species